GAUGACCUCGGAUCAGGUAGGGAUACCCGCUGAACUUAAGCAUAUCAUAA
rnacentral:rRNA from 1 species